CCAGCGGAGGGAUCAUUACCGAGUUUACAACUCCCAAACCCCUGUGAACAUACCUUAUGUUGCCUCGGCGGAUCAGCCCGCGCCCCGUAAAAAGGGACGGCCCGCCGCAGGAACCCUAAACUCUGUUUUUAGUGGAACUUCUGAGUAUAAAAAACAAAUAAAUCAAAACUUUCAACAACGGAUCUCUUGGUUCUGGCAUCGAUGAAGAACGCAGCAAAAUGCGAUAAGUAAUGUGAAUUGCAGAAUUCAGUGAAUCAUCGAAUCUUUGAACGCACAUUGCGCCCGCCAGUAUUCUGGCGGGCAUGCCUGUUCGAGCGUCAUUUCAACCCUCAAGCCCAGCUUGGUGUUGGGAGCUGCAGUCCUGCUGCACUCCCCAAAUACAUUGGCGGUCACGUCGAGCUUCCAUAGCGUAGUAAUUUACAUAUCGUUACUGGUAAUCGUCGCGGCCACGCCGUUAAACCCCAACUUCUGAAUGUUGACCUCGGAUCAGGUAGGAAUACCCGCUGAACUUAAGCA
rnacentral:rRNA from 1 species